GGCGUAGCUCAAUUGGUAGAGCGCCUGAUUUGUAAUCAGGUUGUUGCGGGUUCAAGUCCCAUCGCC
rnacentral:tRNA from 1 species